rnacentral:tRNA from 1 species
UUCGUGGUGUAGUGGUCAGCAUGCUCGACUCGUAUUCGAGAGGUUCGUGGUUCAAGUCCCGGCGGA